CUUCCCUUACCCCCCCAAAAAAAAACAUACACCAGCAAUAUCUAGAAAUGGACAGUCCCAAGGUAGAGUAAAGGAGACCUUUGUUUAUCUUGCCUGCAUGUGUACUCCUGCUGCUUUUGUUCUGUCUUCCUUUCCAUGUGUACUCCUUCACCUUUUAUUCUGUAUUGCCCGCAAGUAGUCUCCUCUUUAAAAGAGGAGUUCGCGAGCCUUACUCCACCUGAUUCUAUGCAUUUCUUUCUUCUUUUUUUUACCCCCCACGAUCACUCUACUUUGAGAACACUCUCUAUCCACUUCUUUUUGCCAAAAGCACCUGAUUUUUGCACUUCUGCUACAUACAGCUUUGGUGGGUAUUGGGUAGUGCUAGUCAUCCCAUUGAGUUGUUUCGGCAAGGUCUGAUUUUUUUCUUUUCUUUUCUUGAUUCUCAUGAGUGGAAAAACACCAAUUUCCCCUGUGGCAUUUCUUGCAUCCUUACAUGAUAUAAAGUUACAGGUUGAGAUUUUGUUACCUAUAAGGUUUCUCCCCCAAACACCAACUGUAACUUUCUUACAUUUUACACAAGUUACAGGCAUCAAAAUGACCCCUUAGACUUAUAGUAUAAGAUUGGAUUUUGGGUUCUUGGCGUUUUAAUCCAGUUUUCUUGUGUUGAUGAUUUUAGUUCUUUUUUAAGCUUGGUGGGAGGUUGUGAUUUGAUCUGGGUUUUGUGAUUGAAUUCCCACCAUGAGACUGGUUUGGUUUCUUGGGUGUUUGGCUUUCUGUUCUGGAGUGUUUCCAAUUGGGGUCAGUAGGCAUGUUUCUUCCAGGCCUCCUUUUGUUAACAUUGGAGCUAUUUUCACAUUCAACUCUACGAUUGGGAGAGUUGCGAAGAUAGCCAUUGAGGCGGCGGUGGAUGACAUUAACUCCAAUUCCAGCGUUCUUGGCGGAUCAAAGCUGGUCAUUAACAUGCAGGACUCCAACUGCAGCGGCUUUCUUGGCAUGUUCGAAGCUCUACAGUUCAUGGAGACUGAUAUUGUAGCAAUGGUCGGUCCACAGUCUUCUGUAAUUGCCCAUGUGAUUUCACAUGUUGCAAAUGAACUCCAAGUUCCUCUACUGUCAUUUGCAGCUACGGACCCCACCCUAUCUUCACUUCAGUACCCAUUUUUUGUACGGAUGACUCAGAGCGAUCUGUUUCAGAUGUCUGCGAUAGCUGAAUUGCUCGAUUUUUAUCGUUGGAAAAAUGUGAUUGCAGUCUAUAUCGACAAUGAUUAUGGGAGAAAUGGGGUAUCUGCACUAGGUGAUAAACUCGCUGAGAGACGAUGUAAGAUUUCUUACAAGGCUGCGCUGCCCCCCGGAGUGACUAGCGAUGAAAUCAUGAAUAUACUAGUUAAGGUGUUAAUGAUGGAAUCCCGCAUUAUCGUCCUGCAUGCAAAUCUGGAUUCAGGCCUGGCGGUUCUCUCUGUGGCCCACUAUCUUGGCUUGAUGGGGAACGGGUAUGUGUGGAUAGCUACGGAUUGGCUCUCUUCUGUUUUAGAUACUUCUAGGCCACUUGCUUGGGAAACCAUGGAAUCAAUGCAAGGAAUUCUAACUUUGCGUCAACAUACAGCAGAUUCGGGAAGAAAAAGAGAUUUUGUUUCUAGGUGGAGUAAGUUAACUGGUAAAAAGAAGUCUGACUCCUUGGGUUUGAAUGCUUAUGGCUUGUAUGCUUACGAUACCAUAUGGACAAUUGCUCACGCGAUCAACACUUUCUUCAAUGAGGGUGGGACCAUAUCGUUUUCCAACGAUCCAAGGCUACAUGAUCCAGAGGGUGCAUCCUUGAACCUGGAAGCAAUGAACAUCUUUGAUGGGGGGAAGCUCUUGCUGAAGACUAUAUUGCAGACCGAUCAGAUGGGUAUAACUGGACCUAUUCGGUUUGAUGCUGAUGGGUUCCUCAUUCAUCCUGCCUAUGACAUCAUUAAUGUAGUUGGGACAGGUAUUCGGAACAUUGGUUACUGGUCUAACUAUUCCGGAUUAUCGAUUGUAACCCCCGAAACACUUUACUCGAAGCCGCCUAACCGUUCGAGUUCGAACCAACAACUCAAGAAUGUCAUUUGGCCGGGGGAUAUGGUUGCGAUACCUCGUGGGUGGGUGUUCCCUAGCAAUGGAAACGAGUUGAGAAUUGGCAUACCCAAUAGAGUUAGUUACCGGGACUUUGUUUCUCAAGUGAGGGGUAGAGACAUGGUGAAGGGGUUCUGCAUAGAUGUGUUUAUGGCUGCUGUAAACCUAUUGCCAUAUGCUGUUCGGUAUAGAUUCAUCCCUUACGGAGAUGGCCAGAAGAACCCGAGCUACACUGGGCUUGUGAAUAUGAUCACAUCGAAUGCCUUUGAUGCAGCUGUAGGUGACAUUGCCAUUGUUACAAAUCGAACGAGGAUCGCGGAUUUUACUCAGCCAUAUAUUGAGUCUGGGCUUGUGAUAGUGGCCCCUGUCAAGAAGUUGAACUCGAAUGAGUGGGCCUUCCUGCGGCCGUUUACACUACAGAUGUGGUGCGUGACAGGGGCAUUCUUCAUUGUCAUAGGAAUAGUUGUGUGGAUUCUUGAGCACAGGGUGAAUGAAGAUUUCCGCGGUCCACCUAGAAAGGAAAUUAUCACCAUUUUAUGGUUUAGCUUCUCAACUUUGUUUUUCGCCCACAAAGAGAACAUUGUUAGCGCACUGGCCCGCGCUAUACUGGUCCUAUGGUUGUUCGUGGUCUUGAUAAUUCAAUCGAGCUACACUGCAAGCCUGACCUCGAUCCUCACAGUUCAACAGCUCUCAUCGUCUAUCACAGGAAUUGACAGCUUGAAAGCAAGCAAUGAGCCAAUUGGAUUUCAAGUUGGCUCCUUCAUCGAGAACUAUUUGAUUGAGGAACUAGGCAUUCCCAAGUCUAGGCUCGUCUCUCUUGGCACACCAGAAGAGUAUGCUGCGGCCCUCCAACGCGGGCCCAAACACGGGGGUGUUGCUGCUGUGGUCGAUGAGCUCCCAUACAUAGAACUCUUCCUCUCGACUAACUGCAAGUUCAGAAUCGCAGGCCAGUUGUUUACAAAAGGCGGGUGGGGAUUUGUAAGUAUAUUAAAAAACAGCCCUGCUAAGACCACUCAUGAGUGCUACUCCCCCACCUCACCAUGUGGCAUGAGUGUGAGAGAUCCAGGCCAUUAACCUGGUGCACGGUUCCAUGGAUGUGUGAUGACCCAAGAAACAGGUCGGUCCAGUGACUCCAGACAUCAGGCAUUCCCACGAGACUCUCCCUUAGCUGUUGACAUGUCAACAGCCAUCUUACAACUAUCAGAGAAUGGUGAUCUCCAAAGAAUCCAUGAUAAGUGGCUGAUCAGAAGCGGGUGCAGUUUACAAAGCACUGA